GACCCUUUACCAUCUCGAAGGUGGUGAACCCGGUGGCGGUCCGUCUCCGCCUGCCUCCGGCAAUGAAGAUUCACCCGACAUUUCAUGUUUCCAAGAUCAAACCUGUCAGGACCUCAAGUCUUGUGCCCGCCUCCAGCUCCCCACCACCCACCCGGCUUGUUGAUGGGUCCCCAGCGUACACCGUUAGACGCAUCAUCAGGUCGAGGAAGUGGGGAAGAGGCACCCAGUACCUGAUCGACUGGGAGGGCUAUGGACCGGAAGAACGCCAGUGGGUCUCCUCCCGUCUCAUUCUGGACAAGUCCCUCAUCAGGGAUUUCCACAAGGCCCAUCCUGACCAGCCUAGGGCGUCUGGAAUCCGCCCUUGAGGGGGGGGCUCUGUGACGAUCUCGGCACUGGCUCUGAUCUUUUCCUCUGUUCACCACACCUGCUCAUUCUCCACCCUGCCUGCAAUUAGUCCUUAUCGGUUCCACCUGUUUUCACCUCCUUAUAAUCCCCGUGCAGAUCAGAAGCCAGUGCCAGAUUGUCUCAAGCCACCUGUACGAGCAUUCCAGCGUUUCCUUGUUCUGCCUGUCCGUGUCUGACCUGAUUCUGCCCUCCGUUACCGAGCCUGCCUGUUCCCCGUUCUGAUUCUGCCUGGAGCCUUGACCCCCGCCUGUGAGUACCGGAUUCUGCCUUGCCCCUGUGAUUAUUCUGAGCCCGCCUGUUAUCGGACCUGGACCGGACCUGGACCUCGCCUAUCGGAUUCCCCUCUCUGUGCUGCCGCUGGAUAACUGCCUCUCUGUGAUCGGACCUGGACCCCCCUGGAUUACGCCCCUGGAUUUCCCUGAACGGAUCGUCUGCCCCCCUGUAGUCGCUCUACGGCUUCAGCCCUGGAACCCCGGCCCGAAGUUAAAGCCCAAGCUUUGGAGUCCCACUACCAGGGAGGUUUCCAGUCACAGAGCGCGCAGCGAGCUCCGAGUGCCUGCGGCGGCGUAUCUAAAAUAAACUUGUUUAAAUGCCA